rnacentral:rRNA from 1 species
UCUUUAGUGGUCCGCCCCUUCGGGGAGCGGGUCACUGGCCUCCUAUGUUCCUAACGGUCCUCAUCCGCGAGGGUGGGGAAUCAACCGCUAGGAUCGUUUACUUUGAGGAAAUUAGAGUGUUCAAAGCAGGCGUAACUCGCCUCCGAAUACGUUAGCAUGGGAUAAUGGAAUACGACUUCGGUCUUGUUUCGUUGGUUUCGCUUGGCUGAAGUAAUGAUUGAUAGGGACAGUUGGGGGCAUUAGUAUUUAGUUGUCAGAGGUGAAAUUCUAGGAUUUACUAAAGACUGACCAAUGCGAAAGCAUUUGCCAAGGAUGUUUUCAUUAAUCAAGAACGAAAGUAGGGGGAUCGAAGACGAUCAGAUACCGUCGUAGUCUCUACCGUAAACUAUGCCGACCAGGGGAUCCGGAGAGUUUGCAUGGAUGACUCCCCCGGGCACCUUGUGAGAAAUCAUAAGUGUUUGGGUUUUGGGGGGAGUAUGGUCGCAAGGCUGAAACUUAAAGGAAUUGACGGAAGGGCACCACCAGGAGUGGAACCUGCGGCUUAAUUUGACUCAACACGGGGAAACUUACGAGGUCAGGACACUGUGAGGAUUGACAGAUUGAAAGCUCUUUCUGAUCCGUGGGUGGUGCUGGCGU